CGGCGAGUGAGCGGCAAAAGCUCAAAUUUGAAAUCUGGCACUUUCAGUGUCCGAGUUGUAAUUUGAAGAAGGUAUCUUUGGGUCUGGCUCUUGUCUAUGUUUCUUGGAACAGAACGUCACAGAGGGUGAGAAUCCCGUGCGAUGAGAUGUCCCAGACCUAUGUAAAGUUCCUUCGAAGAGUCGAGUUGUUUGGGAAUGCAGCUCUAAGUGGGUGGUAAAUUCCAUCUAAAGCUAAAUAUUGGCGAGAGACCGAUAGCGAACAAGUACAGUGAUGGAAAGAUGAAAAGAACUUUGAAAAGAGAGUGAAAAAGUACGUGAAAUUGUUGAAAGGGAAGGGCUUGAGAUCAGACUUGGUAUUUUGUAUGUUACUCUCUCGGGGGUGGCCUCUACAGUUUACCGGGCCAGCAUCAGUUUGGGCGGUAGGACAAUUGCAAAGAAAUGUGGCACUGCCUCGGUAGUGUGUUAUAGUCUUUGUCGAUACUGCCAGCCUAGACUGAGGACUGCGGCUUCGGCCUAGGAUGUUGGCAUAAUGAUCUUAAGUCGCCCGUCUUGAA
rnacentral:rRNA from 1 species